rnacentral:rRNA from 1 species
UACGUAGGGGGCUAGUGUUGUCCGGAUUUAUUGGGCGUAAAGAGCGUGUAGGCGGCCAUGUAGGUCCGGUGUGAAAACUCGAGGCUUAACCUCGAGAUGUCAUCGGAAACCAUUUGGCUAGAGUCCGGAAGAGGAGAGUGGAAUUCCUGGUGUAGCGGUGAAAUGCGCAGAUAUCAGGAAGAACACCAAUGGCGAAAGCAGCUCUCUGGGACGGUACUGACGCUGAGACGCGAAAGCGUGGGGAGCGAACAGG